CAGCCGCCGCGGUAAUACGUAGGGUGCGAGCGUUAAUCGGAAUUACUGGGCGUAAAGCGUGCGCAGGCGGUUGUGUAAGACAGGUGUGAAGUCCCCGGGCUUAACCUGGGAACUGCGCUUGUGACUGCACAGCUAGAGUAUGGCAGAGGGGGGUGGAAUUCCACGUGUAGCAGUGAAAUGCGUAGAGAUGUGGAGGAACACCGAUGGCGAAGGCAGCCCCCUGGGCCAAUACUGACGCUUAUGCACGAAAGCGUGGGGAGCAAACAGGAUUAGAUACCCGCGUAGUCCCUGUCUCUUAUAC
rnacentral:rRNA from 1 species